rnacentral:rRNA from 1 species
UACGUAGGGCGCAAGCGUUGUCCGGAAUUAUUGGGCGUAAAGAGCUCGUAGGCGGUCCGUCACGUCUGCCGUGAAAACCCGAGGCUUAACCUCGGGCCUGCGGUGGAUACGGGCGGACUAGAGGUAGGUAGGGGAGAAUGGAAUUCCCGGUGUAGCGGUGAAAUGCGCAGAUAUCGGGAGGAACACCAGUGGCGAAGGCGAACUUCCUGGCCUGUUCUUGACGCUGAGGCGCGAAAGCUAAGGGUAGCAAACGGGG